GACGAACGCUGGCGGCGUGCUUAACACAUGCAAGUCGAACGAAGUGGCGAACGGGUGAGUAACGCGUAAUCAACCUGCCCUUCAGAGGGGGACAACAGUUGGAAACGACUGCUAAUACCGCAUACUGAAGGAGGGGAUUGCGUCGGAUUAGCUGGUUGGAGGGGUAACGGCCCACCAAGGCGAAGAUCAGUAGCCGGUUUGGGAGGAUUAACGGGCAACUCGGGACUGAGACACGGGCCAGAAUCCUUCGGGAGGGAGCCGUGGGGAAACUUCCGAAAUGGACGAAAGUCUUAAGGAGCAACGCCGCGUGAGUGAUGACGGCCUUCGGGUUUUAAAGCUCUGUUAAUCGGGACGCGGUACCGGAAUAGAAAGCCACGGCUAACUACGUGCCAGCAGCCGCGGUAAUAC
rnacentral:rRNA from 1 species